rnacentral:miRNA from 1 species
GAACAAGGAGUCACGCAAAGGA